CUGCCUUGAGUCUUUAGCUCUACAUGCAUGCUCUGAGCCUUGAAAUCUCCAGGAUAAAAAGCACCCAAAUCUCCCGGUUGGGUCCUCCAAGCAAGGUGAAUGGAGCGCUUCAUUUAAGCCCCACUUGCAAGAGAACAAAGCGGAGUCAUGUAAAACAGAAAAUGAGAAAUGCAAACCUGUGGUGAUUGAAGAGGAGGAAGGAAAAUGAAAGAGAAAAAGCUGAAGAGUGGGAAAAAGAUAAAAUAAAAUGAAUUUGGGGAUUCCACUCAGGACCUGGAGCCCCUGGAGGGAGCAGGAAUUUGAGGAUUGCUGUGAUGGCAGGACAAGGGCCUGAACUUGCGUGGGGACUCUUCUGCAAGACAGAGGUUCCAGCUCUGUCAAUGACUACCUGUGACCUUGGGGGGAUUCGUUAAGGAGAAGCCUGAAAAAAUUGAUUCAAAGCUACAUUUAAUCCUUUAGUGGAUACUGGAUAUCCACGUGUUUAGAUCACAUCUGAAACAUGGAUUGACCAGUCGUUUUGAGCUCACUCUGUUCCACCACCGUUUAUCAGGAGCUGGUUCAGAUGAACAGUUCAUCCUGCCACCCUGCCUGCCCUUUCACAGACCUGGAGACAGCAUGGGUGUCACCUCCAGCAUCUGCCGUGGGUACGGCGAUCAGCACCUGGAAGAAGGCCAGGCACUGGAGAGAGCAAGCAGGAGUAUGAGCUACUACUGUGCGACAGGACAGCCUUAAAAUGAAUGCCGUUUAUUCUCAGCUUUGAGAACUGAAUUCCAUGGGUUGUAAUUGAAUCCGCUGUCAGACCCAUGGGGCUCAGUUCUUCAGCUUGGAUAUUUCUGUCUUCACAUACACAGGAGAUCAAAGAAGCACUUGAUCAUUCGCUGAUUCUUCGGGAUGGUGAUAGCAGCAAGCAGGAGAGAAAGAAUAACUGAUGUGAAUCAUUUUAACAGGAAGGCUUCAUUGCAAAGGCCAGGCUCUCUCAUGUUAAAUAGCUAUAUAGUGAUAGAAUCUUUUCUUAGCUGAUAGGCUCUGUGUUGCUCUCACUGUUUAAUUCACUCUGUUCUUUCCUCUUGGUUUUAUCAAGGUUACAUAUAAAGCCAUGAGAUAUUGCUGACUGAAUGAUGGUCCCCAAAUAUUGCAGAGUGGUGCAGUGCACCUAACAGCAGCUAUGAUGACCUGCACUAGACCACUGAAACUCUGGACCUCCCUGGUCUGAAUGCCAAGUUUGCCAGCGGAUAAUCUGCUGUAACCUCCUCUGUCCGGUACUGCUGCUGUACAGUUACUGUUUCUUUUACUUAGGCCAAAUACCUGUUUUCAGAAAAAAUAAAUUUCAGUUGUGACUAUAAAGAAUAUACAUUUGCACCAGCCACCAGCACCCUUACAUAAACACAGAUUUGUUUUCCUGAAGAUGGUAAUGUGCUCCCAAAGUGUUUGGAUUAGGGAGCAUCUAGUGUAAUCAGUGAUGGCAGCGUGUGUGCUGUUUGAAGGCUCAGCAGCACAAGCAUCUCUUUAUAGGGGGAUUCAUUCAAGUCACAGGCUGAUUUUUUUUUUUUUUUUUUUUCUUGGAGAAUCUAUGUUAAAUUUUUUCAUUCGGGCAUCAGGAAAAUAUUUGUGUUCUUUAUACAUGUAAAUAGUUACUAUUAACAAUGAGCUUUCCACUUCUUUCCUGCAAUAGCACCUUCCUAAAUUACAUUUUUCCAGCUCAGUAAAGUAGACCAUACACUGAUCUUAUCCCUGUGCUGCAGUGCUCUUAAAAGCACAGAAAUAUUAAAAUCCCACAGGUGCAGGAGCAGCAUGUUCAGCUAAGUAGCUUAAAACUGUUAUGUGCCUUUUAUUCUGAAAAUGUAUUUACACUAAAAAUAAUCAGAUAUAGUCACUGUUGCCUGUGGAUACAGAUGUACCUUCAUACUGAUGUGCUUUUCAUAUAAAUUUUUAUUCUAGAGUUACUGAAGAGUUUCUUUGUGGCUGUCUGAAAUGUAUCAUGCUCACCAGUCUAGAAAUUGUAGUUCUUGGAAGAGCUCACCGGUUCUACCAGCUGUUGCUGGGGGAAUAUCCAUUAAACAGAAGGGAGAAAUGCACAAAGCAAAGGAUGAUAUUAAAGUUUAAUUUUUUCAUUUCCUCUGUCAUCCCUGUCAGAAAGAGGAAAUGGAAUUUGAGGUCAGAGUUAGCAAAAUCUGCAAAAGAAGAGAGAGCAACAGAGCAGUUUUACAGGAUGUAUAAUGCAGGCAGCUUGGUGGAUAUUAAACGGCUGAAGGUGCGAAACUUCAUCCACUUCUGCCACUACGAAGCCCAGCCUCCAGGCAGCAAUGCAGCAGAGAAGAUGAUGUGUGUAUGGUGGUAACCACACAAAGCCACUGAUGAAAUCAAGAUGGUCUUUGGAACAGAGGCCUUUGCAGUCCCAUCUCAGAGGGCAGCCCUCAAAAUGUGGUGUAAGUAAUUCUUCUUUUUUUUUUUUUUUCCCCCUCCUCAAAAGUCUACAGUAAACUGUGAACUAAUAAUAGCCCUUUUGAUGUUACCUUAAAUUAAGCUUAAGUAGUUAAAACAUGGAGGGGUACAUGAGGGAGCAGAUACAGGGCUGUUGUUACCCUGAUAAUGGGUUGUGCCUGCGAUCGUACUCUCAGGAAGGGUGAGGGGGUUCCCGUGGUGAGCCAGAACCAUGCACGUGUACCCCCAGAGUGGUUCCUCAUGCCCUACAAAUUCACACAGCAGAUUAUGACACCUCUGGUGAACUGCAAUUGGGAUAUCGCUACCGAAUAGCUGGUAGCUACAUCUGCACACCGCCGAACCUCCCCAAGUGCCACGGGCUGCCUGUGUCUAGGUGAAAGUCAUGAAACUUCUGUCUAGCUCUUGAGCUCCAGCUCUCCGUGAAUGCUGGGCUUGCAUGCAGGAAAACGGUUGCAUAGCCCAUGUGUAAAGAAGUAGUUGGUAUUUGCAUCCUGAGCAUGUUUAUGUUCUGACUAUAGCUGUUCAUGUGAAAAACGGUGAAGGAAAGAGUUGAUCCCAGAGUCUUGUUCUUCUCAAGCCUUUUUUCUCUCAGAGCUGCCUAGGUGGUUUGUGUGCUCUACAAUUGCUGCUGGGUGAGAGGGAACAGGUUAAAACCAUUAGGCACAGAGCUAUUCUGAAAGCAGAAGCAAGCCUGCCUUUCAGCCCCGCAGUGACUGACCGUUCCUUUGCUACAGGCUGCUGUAGUUACUUUUGAACCUUGCUUGCCCUGGAUGACAAGGCAUCUUCUUUUUGGAUAUUGGAUAUUCUUGGGAUCUUUAAACUAGAAAAGUUUUCACGUCCCAGGCUGUCCUAUUGACAGUGCUGUGUCUUUCCAGCAGAACAGCAAGUAUUUUUAGCAUGAGGCUUCAAACCAAUGUACCUUCUGUCUGUCUAAUUAUGCUUCCCUGCAGUCUAUGGGUUUAUUCUACUUCACUGUAACCAGGGCAGUCCUCAGGAUGCCUCAGCCUGCAGCUCACCCCAGCCAGCCUGCACAGGGAUACGUGCCUCUCAGCACACAGAAGUAGUGCAGUGUCACAGCGCUGAAGGUAAAUGAACUUGGUGACUCAUGUCCUGAUGCUCUGACAGAUGCGUCAUGUGUAUUGAUUGAUACAACUCCUUACUGAAUUCACCAGCUUUGUGCACAAGCACCAGAAGUGAAAGCAUCACAACUCUGAUGACUGCAUCUCUUCUGAAGGAUUUCCUCAUCUUCUCCUGUUCCUUGACUUACAAAACCGAUCUGUUUAAACUGGUCCUCUAAAUGUUUCGUUUUGGAAUGAUUUUUUGUUGUACUUUUUCUUGGCAGAAUCAUUCAGAUGAAUUCAGCUAUAUUUGUUAGUGCUGCUGUAGAUUUGAAACUUGAUUUUUGGGCAAGUAAAGCAUUUGCUGAAAAGUCAUACCCUCUCUAUAUCUUUCUCAAGCUGAUCUGUGCCACCUUCUGGUGCUUAUUCACAGAUCUAACUCUGUUUAUUUUGUUCUGAGUAAAUCAAUGGGCUGAAUCCCCCUGACAUAGCUCUGGCAGACCAGUAAGUCUACCUACAUUUUGUAGAUGAAUAGGCUGAGAGUCCAAACACCUAAAAUGGAGAAGCAGCCCAGAAUUCUGUUGCAUGCUUGUUGCUCUUCACUUGUGGCUUUCUGCUUACUAUUCACAACAAACAAAUGAGGACAAACACCUACACACUCCUUCUGGUACGAGCAUGCCCCAGUAUCACCCACUGCUGCUGUUUGUGCAGUUUGCUGCCUCCCCCUCCCUUGGCUGAUAUUCUGUCCCCGCUCCUUGGUCCUUGAUGCCUCUCUCGGGGCCUCUUCCUUGUGGUUUUUUUCUUUUUUGGCUUUUCUCCCCUCUAUAUUGUGGGAUUGUUGCUUAUUUCUUUUUCUUUCCUUUUUAUUUAAAUUAUUUUUUUUUAUUUGUAGCUCAUCCCCCAGGAGUCUUUUCUCUUUGUGUCAAGAUAGUGCUUGAAUCUGGUGGGGAAAAAAACAAACCUCAUGAGUGCUGGAGGGGCUUGUGCACUACUUCAAAAGCAGAAUGGAAACAAAUGGUGAAGGAAGACAAAGAGGGGAGUGGACAGAGGCAGACAGAGAGAGGGGAGCUGCUGCAGCAGAAACAGGUCUGUAGGUGUUUGCAUAUUUUGCAUUGCAGGUAAGGUGAGAAAAGUACCCUAUGGCAUUAAGCACUGCUCCCUUUUGCUGCCUCUGACCUAUCAUCUUCUCCUUAAGCCUCUGCAUUUCUUCAUACUGUGUGUGCCUUGUCCAGUGAAUGCUGAUGAGAGGCCUUAAUGCACGCUGCAGACAGGCAUUUAUUCUCAGCAAAUGAUCUUAGGGCUUUUCAAAUGAGUGGCUGUGCAUUGAACACUCCUCUAGAGAUUGCUCUGUUCUUGCUGCCCUUUGGUACCCCAAGACAACAGAGCUGUUGCUGACUGUGGCUCAUCUUUUUGGCUAGCAUGCCUUUUUGCUUCCAGGAAAAUGAUGGGUUUAUGUCAGGUUCAGUAAUCCUGAUGUCUGCACAGUUGAGAGAAAUAGCAGUUUAACGUGAGCGUGAGUGUGCAUGUGUAUAUAUGGAAACCACAGCUUUGACAAGCCUCUCAUCUGCCUUGGAAAAGAAACAGCAGGGCUUAAAAGCUAUGGAGUUGCAAUAUGCUGAGUAAGGUCUCUAGUUUUCAGUGACUCGCAAUCUGUUUUUCUGGCAUCCCAGCCAUACAGCAGGUUGUGCUUUUUUUAUCUUCUGUUUCUUUACUUUAAAAAAACCUCUAUGUCAGAAAAGUUAAUACCUAAAGGUGUCCUAGAAGGCCUGUCCCUUUGACAGGAUACAUGCACUCAAGUGCAGAAAUCUCUGCUCACUGGCAUCCUUCCCUUACUCUGCUGUACUAGCCUAUUUUUGCACUGGCAAAGAGACACUUUUAAAAUUAACAUUAGGUUAAAGUUGUUACAAAAGGUGUUUUCUAGGUUGUCUUUCUGGUAGUCAUCCUUAUUUUGCAUUUUCUGACCACUCACUCUUGACCUGGAGAGGAGUGUUGGGCAAAGCCAGCUGAAGCAGGGUAUGCCAUUAUCUCACUGGGGCACUCAGAUGUUUCUGGCUGCCACUGAGGAUCUAGUUUAUAAAAUGAGGGACUUUUCCUCUUUUUCUUUCUUCUUUUUUUUUUUUUCUUUCUUUUUCUCUUUUUUUUCCUUUUUCUUUCCCUCUGUACUAAAGAUAGGACUUGCAUUGCUUCAGCAUUUAUGGUUCAUAGAAUCACUGGAUUGCAGAAUGGUUUGGGUUGGAAGGGACCUUAAAGAUAACCUAGUUCCAACCUCCCGCCAUGAUCAGGGACACCUUCCACCAGGGGAGUUUGCUCAAAGCCCCAUCCAGCCUGGCCUCGAACACUUCCUUGAAUAUUUGGAAUUAGUCAAAGAAUGGCAUUUGCUAGAAGAAUCUGCCAAGAUAGGGUUUUUUUUUACUUUCAUUUUUCUAGAUUUUUUAAAAAGUCUUCUCUGACUCCUCUUCUCUUUGUUUUCCUUUCUCUUUUAGCCUGCGAAAACUUCGUUGUCUACUAGCUGUUGAAAAAACUAUUGCUUUUGGAACAAACAAAUGUACAGGAAACUGUUUCAUUUAAGAUGCAAAGGAAAUUUUAACAUCAGAUUUGAAAUAGAAAUAUGUUGCCAGAAGAUUUGUCUGUAUGGAUUAAUGCCUGUUGCUUGCCUGUGAACUCCACUGCUGAGCAGGUGAUGGCAGAGCACCGCGAGCCUUCAUGCAUUGCCACCCAAGUGCGAGGCAGCACUCCCACUGUGCUGUGGAGGCACCUCUUAGAAGCAGGUCAUUAAAAAGGAACCAGUUUGUUUAAAAAAAAUAAUCACUGGGAUGAUUAUUUCAGAUUUACAAUAGUGUACUAAAUAAUGAUCAUGGAUUUGUUGUUUUGAAAAAAAACCCACAUGUACCCAGCCAAGCAUUGCUACUUUCUAUAGUUAGCAAUUCAAUUACUGUUGUGCUGGACUUAAACCUCUUGGUGUUCCUGUGAGAAAUUUUAUUCUUUAUUUAUUCUCAUUUUAUAGACUGAGACACAGGGACAUACUUGGCUGAGGACACAAAAUUAAUCUAUUUGAAGUUUUCUAGGAAUGUUGCCAUAGUUAAUAUCACUGGUUGGAAAGCUUGAGUAUAAAGGAGGCUAUCAGUGUUGCCUGUAGCCUAACCCUCCUCUGAACAGAUGCCCGUAGUGCAGAAAUGUUCAUUUUCUGCUUGCACUGUUGCACAGAAAGUUACUCUGCCUAUUCCUGCCAGGGAGAGAUCUUUCAGUAAAGGACAAUGCCUCCCCGUGCCCACGGAUCACCGAACCCCUGCGGAGGCAGCACCACCUAAAUCACAGCCCCACUUCAAAAGCCUGCUGCUAAAAUUUUACAACUUCACUUGUUUUUCACAUUUCCUCUUUUCUGUGUUUUCCUGUGCAAAUUCAGGCAAGGAAGAGUUUUUCCUGGAUACAGAAAUCCGUGGCUUUUGUGGCAUUUUUAGGCGUAUUGCUGCCAAGCAACCUGUUCACACAGAAAGCCCUUCAGAGUGGACCCAAGGCUGCAGCACAUCCUUCAGUGCCUGGGCACUUGCACCAUGCUAUUUCAACUUCCCUGAGCUGUUUGAAGGGGAAACGUGUCCUGGCAGAGAGCAGAGCUGCAGUGGUCCCACUGCUUAAAGGCACUGAGGGCAACUACAGGCCAGUCAGCCUCACCUCCAUCCCUGCAAAGGUGAUGGAACAGCUCAUCCUGGAGGUCGUCUUGAAGCAUGUGGAGGAAAAGAAGGUCAUCAGGAAUGUCAACAUGGAUUCACUAGGGGGAAAUCAUGCCUGACCAACCUGACAGCCUUCAGUGAUGGAAUGAGUGGCCGGGUCAAGGACUGGAUCAGAACGGUGUGGACUUUCUGAGGAGGUUGAAGUUUUAGUCUUUAAGGGGAAGAGCUGGUUGAGAAGCUGGUCCUAAGGAUGGCAAAGGCAAGGGGGUGAGGUCUGACCAGGGCUAUCUGUGAGCAGUCUCAACAGAGGGUAUCCAAAACUGGUGACUCCUGUAAGCCAUGUAGGCAGCCCGCUCCUUUCUGCACUGCUGAGCGAGCCAGUUCUCAGCAGAACUCACGCAGCCUCUGAUACCUCCAUUUGCACCCACAGAGGCUCAGCCUUGGAGGUGCUGAGGGCGGCGGGGAGCCACAGCCAGCUGUGCUGCUGUGGGCAGAGCUGCCGGUGCAGCCCAUGUCCUGCCGUGUCCUGCCAUCCCUCAGCCGGUGCCCAUCGCCGGCCGGGGGAAGGGCCUGUGCAAAAGCCAGGGCUGUCUCGCUGUUGUGUUUCAUCCACUGCCCUUGCUCGUAAUUGACUGAGUGCUGGACAUCUAAUCUUGAUUCAAGCCAGGGAGAGCCUUGCAGCCUUAAAGUAAUUAAGUGGAGAGACCAAGCACUUCAUGUGAAUCUGAGUAACCUGUUGGAUGGGGGGAGGGGGACAAACCCACAAUUUCCCACAGUGAGUGAUGAAAUAAUUACAUCAUAACUGACAAAGCUGCUGAUUUUAAGGAGGAUAAAUUUCCCAAGGGUAAUACUAAGAUGACAAGCUUUCAGCUCUGGUGUGUCAUUUACUGCUCUUCCUUGUGUUGAUUUUUAUAGAGCAAGUGGCUACUCAGCAAAAUUAAUGUGGCAGAGUGAGACCCUCAGAUGGGGUCUGGGAUUUCAUCACUGAGCUUUUCACAUAUUUCAAAAAACACAUUAAUGUUAGGAGAGACCAUUUAUCAAUUACUUACUAGUUUGCUUCUCAGCCUACACCACAAAAAUUUCACCCAGAAGUUCUUGCAGUGCUCUCAGGAAUUAUUGGCAGAAGCAGCUCUCUGGAGUUAAAGCAGAAGAGACAAUUUCAUGUGACUGAAGUUUAAAAAAUGCUUGUCUCCUUUCUAAUACAAAUGAUCUGUGAUGAAUUAUCACUCCUCCUAGGGAUAGAAUAUAAGCUCAACAACUUAUACCUGGCAACCUUUAAUAGCUGUGCAUAUUCAGCCUCUUCACUCUGCAACCCAGGAGAAUAGCUUCUUAAUAUUCCUCUUAAAGACUUUUUUUGUUUGUGUUGGGUUUCCUGUAAAUUCAUAGUGUUUCAUUUGCAGCCAAACUGCAACAAACCCCACAUAACGAUUAGGAAGCCUUGCACGUAGAUACAGAAAAUGCAGUCACAAGAUUGCUAAAUAGGAGUUGCUCUAUCUUUAAAUGAUCAUGAGCUGUCAGCUGUUCCUUUGUUCAGAUUAUUAUAGACACACAUAAAACAUUUGAUUGAAUGCUCAAGUUUUCACCAGCUAGAAUCCAGACGGAUGUCUGAUAAAAUAACAAACACACCCCAUUCCACCCCUCCUCAAAAUCCCCUUCCUGCUUCGGCUGAAUUUCUCCCUGUAUUGAGGCCAGUAUUUCAUGGACUAAAUUGGACAAAGCAAGCAAACAAUCUCCUUUGCAUUGAUUUCUAAAUCAAAUCAUUGUUAAUCACAUCAAUAUUCCCUACUGAUUCAACAGUCUCGGAGGCCAGCUUUCUGGCUCAAACAAGCUCCUCUGCAUGGAUGCCACAGAGCCCUCUGUGUGUGCUGCUCAGAUUUGCUAUUAAUUGUUGGAAACACUCAGGUCGGAUUCUCUCACCUCUUCUUUCUCCCCCCUUUCCCCCUCAUGCAGCAGGGAAGAAACAGAAAUGCCAUUCUUGCUUGACAUCGGCUUUCUGACCUCUCUCAGUGAUGCGAAGGGGGCAGCUGCCUAGUUCUAAGAUACAAACCCAGGGCACCACUGGCUUACCUGUAAGCAACCAUGGUACCUCAGCCACUGGGAAGUGUGGCAGACAUUUCUGCAGUUCUUGAAUAAUUAAAGCCACUUCACAUCAAGGGUGAUCCAUAAAGGAAGGCAUUUUGCAUGUGAAAAGCUGCAAAGGGUGGAAGACUUUGGGGUAUUGGCAGUCAGCAGCCAAGCGACUGAGAUUGGUAAUGCUACAGUAAGCCGCCUCCUCUGCACAGCACUACAGGAUCAUGGAAAGAGGCCAAUUGCUGGAUUUCUGUACUUUAUCUUGAUUAAACGGCUGUUUCCAUUUGGUGGGCUGCCUACCUGUGAAGGGGCCGUGCCCCCCCCCCGCCAAGCUCCUGCAGCACUGCGAUGGAGGGGGGACCAGGACUCUGCGCUGUGGGCACUUCUCCGGAGAUGUGGGAAGAGGAGAGCUCUCCCCGUGGGGCUGCAGCGAUUGCCAGACUACCAGCAGCAGAAAACCAACCCCUUCGGGUUCCCUGUCACCCAAAUGGUGUAUCAUCCACCUUCUAUCU